AAUUGUUUAGUUUAAUAUAAAACAAAUGUUUUGAAAACAUUAAAUAAGUUAAUAAAACUUAAUAAUUA
rnacentral:tRNA from 1 species